GAGGAAAGCGGGGGGCGUGCCUAAUACAUGCAAGUCGAGCGAACAGAUGAGGAGCUUGCUCCUCUGACGUUAGCGGCGGACGGGUGAGUAACACGUGGAUAACCUACCUAUAAGACUGGGAUAACUUCGGGAAACCGGAGCUAAUACCGGAUAAUAUAUUGAACCGCAUGGUUCAAUAGUGAAAGACGGUUUUGCUGUCACUUAUAGAUGGAUCCGCGCCGCAUUAGCUAGUUGGUAAGGUAACGGCUUACCAAGGCAACGAUGCGUAGCCGACCUGAGAGGGUGAUCGGCCACACUGGAACUGAGACACGGUCCAGACUCCUACGGGAGGCAGCAGUAGGGAAUCUUCCGCAAUGGGCGAAAGCCUGACGGAGCAACGCCGCGUGAGUGAUGAAGGUCUUCGGAUCGUAAAACUCUGUUAUUAGGGAAGAACAAAUGUGUAAGUAACUAUGCACGUCUUGACGGUACCUAAUCAGAAAGCCACGGCUAACUACGU
rnacentral:rRNA from 1 species